AGGACGAACGCUGGCGGCGUGCCUAACACAUGCAAGUCGAGCGAGGAGAUCCUUCGGGAUGAUCCCAGCGGCGGACGGGUGAGUAACACGUGGGCAACCUGCCUCAUAGAGAGGAAUAGCCUUCCGAAAGGGAGAUUAAUACCUCAUAACAUUGCAGUUUCGCAUGGAACAGCAAUUAAAGGAGCAAUCCGCUAUGAGAUGGGCCCGCGGCGCAUUAGCUAGUUGGUGAGGUAACGGCUCACCAAGGCGACGAUGCGUAGCCGACCUGAGAGGGUGAUCGGCCACAUUGGGACUGAGACACGGCCCAGACUCCUACGGGAGGCAGCAGUGGGGAAUAUUGCACAAUGGGGGAAACCCUGAUGCAAGCAACGCCGCGUGAGUGAUGACGGCCUUCGGGUUGUAAAGCUCUGUCUUCAGGGACGAUAAUGACGGUACCUGAGGAGGAAGCCACGGCUAACUACGUGCCAGCCGCAGC
rnacentral:rRNA from 1 species